UACGUAGGGUGCAAGCGUUGUCCGGAAUUAUUGGGCGUAAAGAGCUCGUAGGCGGUUUGUCGCGUCUGCUGUGAAAACUCGGGGCUCAACUCCGAGCUUGCAGUGGGUACGGGCAGACUAGAGUGCGGUAGGGGAGACUGGAAUUCCUGGUGUAGCGGUGGAAUGCGCAGAUAUCAGGAGGAACACCGGUGGCGAAGGCGGGUCUCUGGGCCGUAACUGACGCUGAGGCGCGAAAGCGUGGGGAGCAAACAGG
rnacentral:rRNA from 1 species